UUAAAAGGAUUUUUUCUAGAUUUAUCUGUACCUUUUCUCAGCAUACAAGAAGAGGAUUUCCAAUCCUAUAUGGGUGCCAUAGCACAAUCACACAUCACAAAGCUAAAGAUCAAGUAAAAAGAGAGGAUGAAAAGCUGUGGCCACCAAUUGGACAAUUGGGUAUUGGCACCACUCCUCUCCCUCUCAAUCUAAAAGACAUGCAGCAGGACUUUGAGCUACCAUGGUGCACAGCAGGGAAGGAAGGGACCAUUCUUGUCUCUAUUCCUUUAGGCACACACGUCACAGACAGACAGAAGCAAAGCAACAAACAUAAAGCAAACCAAAUUGAUAUGAGUG
rnacentral:misc_RNA from 1 species